GACGAACGCUGGCGGCGUGCUUAACACAUGCAAGUCGAACGGAAAGGCCCUGCUUUUGUGGGGUGCUCGAGUGGCGAACGGGUGAGUAACACGUGAGUAACCUGCCCUUGACUUUGGGAUAACUUCAGGAAACUGGGGCUAAUACCGGAUAGGAGCUCCUGCUGCAUGGUGGGGGUUGGAAAGUUUCGGCGGUUGGGGAUGGACUCGCGGCUUAUCAGCUUGUUGGUGGGGUAGUGGCUUACCAAGGCUUUGAUGGGUAGCCGGCCUGAGAGGGUGACCGGCCACAUUGGGACUGAGAAACGGCCCAGACUCCUACGGGAGGCAGCAGUGGGGAAUAUUGCACAAUGGGCGGAAGCCUGAUGCAGCAACGCCGCGUGCGGGAUGACGGCCUUCGGGUUGUAAACCGCUUUCGCCUGUGACGAAGCGUGAGUGACGGUAAUGGGUAAAGAAGCACCGGCUAACUACGUG
rnacentral:rRNA from 1 species